GGAAGGAGAAUUGAACUACCCCCUCCACUUCCCCCGCAGACCCACCUCCUCUAUAUUGAGUAAUUAGAGCUAUAUCUGAGCAAUGGACACACUACCAAGCAUGCCUGAACUACCGUCCUUGAGCUACAGAUGGUGCUAUGGAACCAAAGGUGCUGACCUUAUGAGGGAUCAGUCUGAAUUGGAGACACCCUGCCUUCGUGGCUUAUCUUCACAAAUAAGAAAUACUUGAAGCCAGGGAUGCCCAGACUGUCCUUUCGUCUUCUCAUACGUUGGUGGAAAGACUAUCUCCAGUGGACAGCAGAUACCUGGGGCUCAUUUUGCUGUUUUCAAAGUUCCUUUGUGAAAGGUUAUGGCCACAAAGAAGCAGAAAGUCUUGAAAUGACAAAUGUUCCAGAAGAAUGUUUUUCUCCUUUGGAUCUUUUCUUUAAAAAUGUGAAAAAAAAAAUGAAGACCCUAAGUUGGUUGUUGUUCUGUCAUGCACUGAGCACUUCUGUGAAGCAGAGGUGACAAAGCUGAGAAAACCCAUUUCCGCUCCCACGGCUCCCACUGAUACAUGGUUAGUGUGAAUUUCUAGGAAGGAGAGUGACAGCGAUGAACUUCCAAGUGGCUCAGAGAGGACCAGCAAGCCUAUUAUCUCUGUGAUCUAACUGAUGCCGUGGCUAUGCAGAACAGUGGCGUGCCAUGUUUAUGUGAGUGGGACCCUCUACUUAGGCAGAAUGAUACUUCUUUCAAUUCCUAAGUUGCUAGUUUAAAACAUCCAGUUAUAAAAUGAGAACACGAGAAAACUG
ensembl:lincRNA